rnacentral:rRNA from 1 species
CAUUUAAAGAAAGCGUAAUAGCUCACUGGUCGAGUCGGCCUGCGCGGAAGAUGUAACGGGGCUAAACCAUGCACCGAAGCUGCGGCAGCGACACUAUGUGUUGUUGGGUAGGGGAGCGUUCUGUAAGACUGCGAAGGUGUGCUGUGAGGCAUGCUGGAGGUAUCAGAAGUGCGAAUGCUGACAUAAGUAACGAUAAAGCGGGUGAAAAGCCCGCUCGCCGGAAGACCAAGGGUUCCUGUCCAACGUUAAUCGGGG